CGAUUCAAAUUUUUACAUGUAUGACAAGUACAAUUAUAUUGAUAAAUUCAAUGAUUAGAUUGUUAAAAUAUUAAUAAUUUAAAUAGUUACGAAAAGUAUAUAAAACUAUUUUAUUUUACACUGUAUAAGCAAAUCCCUCUCUUAAUUUUAGUGUUUGAAUCAAUUAUAUAGUAAGAAUUUUAAUCCACAAAAAAAGUAUCAAGCAUGUUCCUUGUAACAGGCCUAUUUUGCCCAGCCCGGGCCCAAAUUAAACAACAAAAAAAAUCAAAUAAUAAAUAAUAUUAAAAUAGCACAAAUCACAACUCAAGUCUAAAACCUAACCCAAAACAUGGCCCAAAACAUAAAACUACAAAAAAAACCCUAGUGACCUAAGGUGCCGUGCCUCCAUGUGUGCCCUCGACGCGCACGGCGCUCGAGAUUCGACCCCGUUGCACUAAAACGGUCAUCUAUGGCCCCGUUGAUCCAUUGUGUGCCUGCAAAAAGAAGCAAAAAAAGGGAACAAAACAAGACAACAGAGCAAACAGGCGAAAACAGAGCAGAAACAAAGCAAUAAAACAACAAAGGCAUAGGCAAUAGCAAUAAUAUUAAAUCAAGUGUAUUUUUUGGCUAUAAAAGCCCGAAAAACAAUUUAUUUUGGUCACACAGAUCAGUAAAUCAAAACGCAGAAUAGAAAUUUGGAAAGGUUGUUGCUUUGAUAUUUUAACUUCUCUUAUUUUCUUGUUUCUUUUUGUUUUUCUAUUUUAUUUUUUUACAAAUUUAUUUUAAGUAUAAAAAAGAAAAAUAAAAAAAGAAAGAAAAGACUUACCUGAACUACUCUACGAUCUUGUCACCGGGAGCCCUUCCCCCAUGCCGAAAUCGGACCGAGAGGGGAUCAAUGGUCCUUUUCUUGUGUCAUUCUUGGGGAGAAGAGACUCAGCCUUCAAAGGGUUUCAAAAAGGAGUUAAAAAAACCCCAUUUUUACGUGACUCCGACCACCGCCCACGGUGGAGUCACGGUGGUCAGGCGAUGGCGCGAUGAUGGGUUAUAAAACCCUAGCAGUGAAAAUAGGGAGGGGUUUUUUUUAAUAUUUUUUUCAAAAAAGGAAGCAAAUGAAAAAAAAUAAAAAAAAAAGCUGGUUUAAAUAAAGGAACAAAACGGUG
rnacentral:lncRNA from 1 species